rnacentral:sRNA from 1 species
AGAGUUUGAUCAUGGCUCAGAGUGAACGCUGGCGGCAGGCCUAACACAUGCAAGUCGAACGGCAGCACAGCAGUAGCAAUACUGUGGGUGGCGAGUGGCGGACGGGUGAGGAAUACAUGGGAAUCUGCCCUGUCGUGGGGGAUAACGUAGGGAAACUUACGCUAAUACCGCAUACGACCGAGAGGUGAAAGCGGCGGACCGCAAGGCGUCGCGCGAUUGGAUGAGCCCAUGUCGGAUUAGCUAGUUGGCGGGGUAAAGGCCCACCAAGGCGACGAUCCGUAGCUGGUCUGAGAGGAUGAUCAGCCACACUGGAACUGAGACACGGUCCAGACUCCUACGGGAGGCAGCAGUGGGGAAUAUUGGACAAUGGGCGCAAGCCUGAUCCAGCCAUGGCCGCGUGAGUGAAGAAGGCCUUCGGGUUGUAAAGCUCUUUUGUCCGGAAAGAAAAGCCUUCGGUUAAUACCCGGGGGUGAUGACGGUACCGGAAGAAUAAGCACCGGCUAACUUCGUGCCAGCAGCCGCGGUAAUACGAAGGGUGCAAGCGUUACUCGGAAUUACUGGGCGUAAAGCGUGCGUAGGUGGUUCGUUAAGUCUGAUGUGAAAGCCCUGGGCUCAACCUGGGAAUGGCAUUGGAAACUGGCGACCUAGAGUGCGGUAGAGGGUAGUGGAAUUCCCGGUGUAGCAGUGAAAUG